UAUGUGAAGUCUCACAACAGUUCACAAAUUUUAGAAUUGCCUUUUGCUGCAUUUAUCUUGCCUGUGAACUCAGCUCUUACAGUCCUAUUUUCACACGUCAUUGCUUGUGUAUAGAAACUGAUUCACAAAUAUUCAGUAAGUUUAUUAUAUGGUGUCAUCUUAGAACCUUCCCAAGUGCAAAAAUCUUCUGCAACAAUGAAGGCUUGGGCUGAUGACCAGUGGCUGCAGAACUUUUGGAUGGUCCACAUUUCUGCAUCUUUGUGCAAAACUCACCAAAAUAAAAGCUGCACUGACAGUGGAGAAGAAAAAACAACUGUACUACGGGGAUCUGCAACACCAGAUUAUUAUUGGUCAAUCACUGCUCUCUCUCCUAAACUAAGAUGAAAUGGAUUUCUUUAAUAUUCAAGACUGUGAGCUAAGAUCAUCAGUGAAGACUCAGGAGUUCAAGCUUCCUGGAGUGGAUUCUUCAGAUUUCCAGACAACGAUUUUCUCCAAAAAAGUUGCACCAAGCAAAAAAUUAUCUCAAUACACAUAAUGGCA